CAGUCGAACGGAACUGUUUUGAAAGAUUUCUUCGGAAUGAAUUUGAUUUACUUUAGUGGCGGACGGGUGAGUAACGCGUGAGUAACCUGCCUUCAAGAGGGGGAUAACAUUCUGAAAAGAAUGCUAAUACCGCAUGACAUAUCGGAACCACAUGGUUCUGAUAUCAAAGAUUUUAUCGCUUGAAGAUGGACUCGCGUCCGAUUAGUUAGUUGGUGAGGUAACGGCUCACCAAGACCGCGAUCGGUAGCCGGACUGAGAGGUUGAACGGCCACAUUGGGACUGAGACACGGCCCAGACUCCUACGGGAGGCAGCAGUGGGGGAUAUUGCGCAAUGGGGGCAACCCUGACGCAGCAACGCCGCGUGAAGGAUGAAGGUUUUCGGAUUGUAAACUUCUUUUAUUAAGGACGAAAAUUGACGGUACUUAAUGAAUAAGCUCCGGCUAACUACGUGCCAGCAGCCGCGGUAAUACGUAGGGAGCAAGCGUUGUCCGGAUUUACUGGGUGUAAAGGGUGCGUAGGCGGCUUUGCAAGUCAGAUGUGAAAUCUAUGGGCUCAACCCAUAAACUGCAUUUGAAACUGUAGAGCUUGAGUGAAGUAGAGGCAGGCGGAAUUCCCCGUGUAGCGGUGAAAUGCGUAGAGAUGGGGAGGAACACCAGUGGCGAAGGCGGCCUGCUGGGCUUUAACUGACGCU
rnacentral:rRNA from 1 species